UAGUGGCGAACGGGUGAGUAACACGUGGGCAAUCUGCCCUGCACUCUGGGACAAGCCCUGGAAACGGGGUCUAAUACCGGAUAUUGACCACCGCAGGCAUCUGUGGUGGUGGAAAGCUCCGGCGGUGCAGGAUGAGCCCGCGGCCUAUCAGCUAGUUGGUGAGGUAAUGGCUCACCAAGGCGACGACGGGUAGCCGGCCUGAGAGGGCGACCGGCCACACUGGGACUGAGACACGGCCCAGACUCCUACGGGAGGCAGCAGUGGGGAAUAUUGCACAAUGGGCGAAAGCCUGAUGCAGCGACGCCGCGUGAGGGAUGACGGCCUUCGGGUUGUAAACCUCUUUCAGCAGGGAAGAAGCGAAAGUGACGGUACCUGCAGAAGAAGCGCCGGCUAACUACGUGCCAGCAGCCGCGGUAAUACGUAGGGCGCGAGCGUUGUCCGGAAUUAUUGGGCGUAAAGAGCUCGUAGGCGGCUUGUCACGUCGGUUGUGAAAGCCCGGGGCUUAACCCCGGGUCUGCAGUCGAUACGGGCAGGCUAGAGUUCGGUAGGGGAGAUCGGAAUUCCU
rnacentral:rRNA from 1 species